rnacentral:rRNA from 1 species
UACGUAGGGGGCAAGCGUUGUCCGGAAUCAUUGGGCGUAAAGAGCGUGUAGGCGGCUAUACAGGUCCGCUGUGAAAACUCGAGGCUCAACCUCGAGACGUCGGUGGAAACCGUAUGGCUAGAGUCCGGAAGAGGAGAGUGGAAUUCCUGGUGUAGCGGUGAAAUGCGCAGAUAUCAGGAAGAACACCCGUGGCGAAGGCGGCUCUCUGGGACGUUACUGACGCUGAGACGCGAAAGCGUGGGGAGCAAACAGG